CCUACGGGAGGCAGCAGUGAGGAAUAUUGGUCAAUGGACGCAAGUCUGAACCAGCCAUGCCGCGUGCAGGAAGACGGCUCUAUGAGUUGUAAACUGCUUUUGUACGGGGGUAAACGCAGAUACGCGUAUCUGUCUGAAAGUAUCGUACGAAUAAGGAUCGGCUAACUCCGUGCCAGCAGCCGCGGUAAUACGGAGGAUUCAAGCGUUAUCCGGAUUUAUUGGGUUUAAAGGGUGCGUAGGCGGUCGGAUAAGUUAGCGGUGAAAUCCCGAGGCUCAACUUCGGAAUUGCCUCGGAUACUGUGCGGCUAGAGAGUAGUUGCGGUAGGCGGAAUGUAUGGUGUAGCGGUGAAAUGCUUAGAGAUCAUACAGAACACCGAUUGCGAAGGCAGCUUACCAAGCUACUUCUGACGUUGAGGCACGAAAGCGUGGGGAGCAAACAGGAUUAGAUACCCUAGUAGUC
rnacentral:rRNA from 1 species